rnacentral:rRNA from 1 species
AUACGGAGGAUGCAAGCGUUAUCCGGAUUUAUUGGGUUUAAAGGGUGCGUAGGCGGUUUGCUAAGCGGGAGGUGAAAUGCCGGCGCUCAACGUCGGAAGUGCCUCCCGAACUGGUGGACUUGAAUGACUCUGCCGUGGGAGGAAUGUGUAGUGUAGCGGUGAAAUGCUUAGAGAUUACACAGAACACCGAUUGCGAAGGCAUCUCACGAAGGGUUGAUGGACGCUGAGGCACGAAAGCGUGGGGAUCAAACAGGAUUAGAUACCCUGGUAGUCCACGCAGUAAACGAUGAUGGCUAACCGCUGGGCUUAUCAGUUCAGUGGCCAAGCGAAAGCGAUAAGCCAUCCACCUGGGGAGUACGACCGCGAGGUUGAAACUCAAAGGAAUUGACGGGG